AGCAAUAAUUAUUUUCUUUGACAGAAAUUAAGAAUUCAGUUCCUCAGUUGAACCAGCCACAUUUCAAAUGCUCAAGAGCCACAUGAGCCAGUGGCCAACACAUUUGCAGAGCACACAGCAUCAAAAUGCUCUGGGACAGAGCUACCUGAGAGGUUUAAAAUACCUGGGGCCAAAAAGUGUCCUUCCACACCUAAAAUAAUAACACUGAUCAGAAAAAAACUGUGGGAGCUAGAAGAAGUUGAAGAAAGAAAAUUAAGCAGCCAGUCGGACUUUCUACUUACAGAGUAUAAUUUAAGAUACAUAAAAAUCUCACUCCAGAAAUGUCCCACAAUCUAUUGUCCUGGUUUCUGAAGUUCUGUCCUUGAAAUGGAUUACUGACGUUCAAGGCGUGGUAUCUCCUGGGAUAUUCUGCAGUUCUUGGCCUCAGUCAGCUCAUCAAAUCCAGAUCUCUAUCUCACAGAAGCAGUUCUUGUCACCAGAUACACACUGUCCCUUAACUCACUUGUCCACCUCCCUGGUUGGGGAGCAGUGCUUGUCCUCUAAUGGUUUGCUCCAGUUUGCUGAGAGCAACGAGGAUUCUAAGGCAGUGCUUGUCACAGCAGCAGCAUUUGCGUCCACUGUGAGCCAUGAAAGGAAAAUUUCAGGCCCCAGGACGCUCAAGGCACAGGUGAAUUACAUUCCCAGGUGGCACCAUCUACUUGGUUCCAGGUGGGGGACAGGUUGCCCCAGAUCUUCCAGCCUCCCUAGAGUGGCUUGGAAGACCUGGUGGCAUCUUUCAGUGGCACGUGACAGGGACAAAGAGCAGAAGAGGAAAUGAAGGUUGAGGAAAGCGUGACGGUGGGAGAAUUACUGCACAGGGGGCAAGUAGGAGGUCUUUUUUAUGACCUCGGAAGCUUGAGAUGCAGCAGGGUGUAAAGAUUUCUGGGAAUGUUUCUGGGGUGUAUCCUCUGAAAACUGGAAUAAGACUAAGAAAAGUGAUAAGAAAGAUCUAAAGUGGAGUUCCCACGGUGGCUUAUCGGAUUCGUUCACCACUGCACCAUGACGGGAACUCCGGAUUUUUGUUCUCUUUUGAAUGAAACUUCACGCAGACAGGGGUCCAGGGGCCUGGCUUAAAUAGUGCAGUGGCAGGAGGGUCCAUAGACAUUAAAUAAUGUCAAAGCAAUCUUGUAAAUCUUCUCAAACUCAAGUUACCCAAAUGGAGGCCUUCUAGCUGAGACCUGCUUCUUUUCCCGCAUUCUCUCUCCCAUCACCCAUCCACCCCAGCACAGACCUGGACUUUAUCGUCCCCAUCUCCCCAUCCUUUAUCUUCUGUGUCUACUGGCUCAGAUUCUUCCUUCUAAAGACUCUGUCAAACCCAUGCUCCACUCUGCCCCCUCCCCCAUGCUGCCUUUGUUCAGGUUCCAUCAUCUUCCUGCCUUGUUUCCUGUCCUGUCCAAUUGUACGACAUUCCAUUUGGGAAUGCCCAGUCCAGCACAGUGCCCAGGAUACAGUAGGUGAAAAAUAAAUGUGACUGGGAGCUCCCCUGUGGCCCGGAGGAUUAAGGAUCUGGCAGCGUAUUGCAGGGGCUUGGGUUGCUGGCUGGCCUGGGAAAUUUCACAUCCCUUGGGCACGGCCCAAAAUAAAAAAAUAAAUAAACAAACAAAUAAAUGCGACUGAAUGGAUUUUUUGGACAUUGAGAUUGUUUCCAGUUUCCCUGUCAUAUAAAAAUGCUGCGAUAUGAUUUUUAGAUAUAACUGCUCCUUCCUCUUGAAGGAUUAUUUUCUUGGAAUAAAUACCCAGAAGUGGAAUGCCUGGGCCAAAGGUAUCAAUGCAGCUCCGUUUAGACGUCCCAGAGGCCAGCCCAGAAGGGGGCCUGAGUGCAGAUGCACCAUGUGGGAGGUAAUGCCAGGAAAGCCUGGUAAAGAAGUGUGGAAGGGAGGCAGGGACAGGAAGGAAGGAAGUGGUAAAGGGUUUGCUACCAACUGGACCUGGUCCCACUGGGAACCCUACAAGGAAGUACAGAACCAGUGCUGUUGCCCAGAUGGAGGCAGAGGAAGCUGGGGUUACCCACGAGCUGCCCCACCUGUCUUGGUGUGAAAAAGGCUCCUAGAGGCCAUUAGCUCCCUAGCGCUCCAGCCUGCUGGCCAAUGUGACCUAGGUGCCUUCCCGCCUCAACUGCAUGUUUGCUUCCCCCCAGAUUCACAGGUUGAGGUGGAGGCGGGGCCUUAGGGAGGCCAGUAGGUCCUGAGGGUGGAGCCUCCUUAAAAAAUCCUCAGAGAGUUCUCUUGCGAGAAGACCAAAGGCAGUUUCUGUAAACCAGACACCUGGCUCUCUUUAGACACUAAAUCCGCUGGCAUUUGGUCUUGCACUUCCCAGCUUCCAGAACUGUAAGAAUUAUUUGACCCACCCAGUCUAUGCUGCUUGGGUUGUAGCAGCCCAAAUGGACGGUUCCCACGGCCAGAACAUUUUUAAGGAGAAAAUAGCCUCUGAGAGUAGAGGUGAUUGUUGAGGGGAGAUGGGCCAGUGCUUAGCUCACCCACUAAAGAUAUUUUUGUAGCUUUUGAAAAGCACUACUAAAUUGCUUUAUGAAAGAAAAGAACCAUUGUGUUCUUAGAUAGGUAUCUAAAACUAUAUGAAAGGAGUUUCUGUUGUGGCUCAGCGGUAGUAUUGGACUAGUAUCCAGGAGGAUGUGGGUUCGAUCCCUGGCCCCACUCGGUGGAUUAAAGAGCUGGCGUUGCUGUGAGCUGUCUCGUGGGUCGCAGAUGAGGCUCAGAGCUAGCGUUGCUGUGGCUGUAGUGUAGGCUGGCAGCUGUAGCUCUGAUUUGACCCCAAGCCUGGGAACAUCCAUAUGCUGCUGGUGCAGCCCUAAAAAGACAUAAAUAAAUAAAUAAAUAAAUAAAUAAAAUGAUAUGAGUUUGCCCACAUCCCUGCUAACAUUAGGAAUUAUAAUUAUUCUCAACAAACUUAAGAUAUUUGAAUGCGCUACAUUCUUUUCCUUGUUUUCUUUUUAUCUGCAACUACUCCCUACUUCCUAUUAUUUUAUGCUUAAGUGUAAAUUGGGCUGCUUCUUAAGUGAACUACAACUAAAUUAAAUAAAAAUACAAAAAAA
rnacentral:lncRNA from 1 species